rnacentral:rRNA from 1 species
UGAGGAAUUUUGCGCAAUGGGAGCAAUCCUGACGCAGCAACGCCGCGUGGGUGAUGAAGGCCUUCGGGUCGUAAAGCCCUGUCAGGUGGGAAGAAUGUCCCGGGACUGAACAGGUUCCGGGAGUGACGGUACCACCAGAGGAAGCACCGGCUAACUCCGUGCCAGCAGCCGCGGUAAUACGGAGGGUGCAAGCGUUAUUCGGAAUUACUGGGCGUAAAGCGCGUGUAGGCGGUCCUGCAAGUCUGAUGUGAAAGCCCCGGGCUUAACCCGUGUAGUGCAUUGGAAACUGUGGGACUUGAGUACUGGAGGGGAUGGGGGAAUUCCCGGUGUAGAGGUGAAAUUCGUAGAGAUCGGGAGGAAUAUCAGUGGCGAAGGCGCCCAUCUGGACGGUAACUGACGCUGAGACGCGAAAGCGUGGGGAGCAAACA